UACGUAGGGGGCAAGCGUUGUCCGGAAUCAUUGGGCGUAAAGAGCGUGUAGGCGGCUUGGUAAGUCCGCUGUGAAAGUCCAGGGCUCAACCCUGGAAUGCCGGUGGAAACUGUCAGGCUCGAGUCCGGAAGAGGCGAGUGGAAUUCCUGGUGUAGCGGUGAAAUGCGCAGAUAUCAGGAGGAACACCGGUGGCGAAGGCGGGUCUCUGGGCCGAAACUGACGCUGAGGAGCGAAAGCGUGGGGAGCAAACAGG
rnacentral:rRNA from 1 species